GCAGACAUGGCCGAGUGGUCUAAGGCGAUGGUUUUAAGUUACAUUUAACUUUAUCACCAUUAUCGAGAGAUGCGUGGGUUCGAACCCCACUGUCUGCA
rnacentral:tRNA from 2 species